rnacentral:sRNA from 1 species
CUGAUAUUCGCGGGGGGAAGGUGAGAACCUGAGACCAAGGUUCGCGUCGAGCAGCGCGAGACAACGAUGCGCAGCAUCGGCCCGGAGGGUGAGCCGCAAAGCGGCGAAUCAUCCUUCCCCCCACCC